rnacentral:rRNA from 1 species
GUAGCAUAAUCACUUGCUUCUUAAUUAGACGCUAGAAUGAAAGGGGCGACGAAAUCUAGACUAUCAAAAUUUUAAAAUAAAUUGACAACCAGGUCAAAAGGCCUGAAUGCAGCAGGGGGACGACAAGACCCUAUAAAACUUUACCUUUUGCCCAGUAGCGGGCAGGGCGCUGUCUGGCGUAAUGGUUUUACUGGGGCGGUAUGCGUAAAAACAACUUUAAGUUUAAUAUACUAAAUAAAGUGUAAUAACUCUUAUAGAAAUAGAAUAAGUUACUUUAGGGAUAACAGCGUAAUUGCCCCCGAGAGUUCUUAUUGGCGGGGUAG